rnacentral:rRNA from 1 species
UACAUGGGGUGCAAACGUUGCUCGGAAUUAUUGGGCGUAAAGCGCGCGUAGGCGGUUACUCAAGUCGGAUGUGAAAGCCCUCGGCUUAAACUGAGGAAGUGCACCCGAAACUGAGCAGCUAGAGUAACUAAAAGAGGGUCGCGGAAUUCCCGGUGUAGAGGUGAAAUUCGUAGAUAUCGGGAGGAAUACCGGUGGCGAAGGCGGCAUCCUGGACCGGCAUUGACGCUGAGUGAGCGAAAGCCAGGGGAGCAAACGGG